GUCUAGGAGCUGUCUUCCUAGACAUGUCUAAGGCAUUUGACAAGGGUACCAAACCAAGCUCAUCAGCAGUUACUUGUCUGGACGCAGUUUCCCAGUCAGGACAGACGAGCAGCUCUCUGCAAGCAGGCCAAUGAUGUCAGGAGUACCGCAGGGGGUGGUUCUGGCCCCUACCUAACACAAGCCAUAAUAUUUACAAGAGGCAGGAAGAACCCACCCAGAGGCCUACUAGAGCUUGCAAGACAGAAGCUACCAUGGAGUUCCAAGAUAACCUAACUUGGACUCACAUAUGACAAGCGUCUAGUAUGGCACGACCAUAUGGCAAACACCAUCGCCAAGGCAAGACUCCUGCUCCAUGCCUGCUAUCCUCUGCUGUCAGGUAAAGUCUGCCUACGAACUACGGCCAGAGUUUACAAGCAAUUGAAACGUUCUGUGCUGACCUAUAGAUCUCCUGCGUGGUCCAUAGCCAGCACCGCGCAAAAGCAGAAACUGGCAGUAUUCCAGAAUAAAAUACUGAGGAUAGUGACAAAGGCCCCAUACUUCGUCAGAAAUAUCACCCUGCGAAGAGACCUAGAUACAGAAGACUUGCUGGACCACAUCCGGAACCUAACGUCCUGUUCCGGGUUCCUGGAUAGGAUCCGGCACAGCAAGAAUCCCACCGUCAGCGUUUCUUGCACCAAGAAGUUCAACUGUGACCGCAGACCUCUCCCUGCGGACACAGUCUAAGAAGACGUGGACCACAUGCGAUGACCAGUUCCUGCACCACAUCGAGGACCAUGGGCUAACUUUAAGUUA